UGCACGGAAGAUAUAACGGGGCUAAGCUGCAUACCGAAGCUGCGAACAUAUGAAGCUAUGUGGUAGGGGAGCGUUCCGUAAACCAACGAAGGUACUCUGCUAAAAGUAUUGGAGGUAUCGGAAGUGCGAAUGCUGACAUGAGUAGCAAGAAAAAAGGUGAGAAUCCUUUUCACCGCAAGUCCAAGGUUUCCUAUGCAACGUUGUUCGACAUAGGGUAAGCCGAAAGCCUAAGGUGAGGCCAAAAGGCGUAAUCGAUGGCUAACAGGUUAAUAUUCCUGUGCCGCUUACACUAAAGUGAUGGGGUAACAAACUAAAGGUAACUAGCCAAGAACGUGGUCUCCUCUGGUUAUUGUAUUGAAGGAAUGCUUAGGAAAAACCCAAGCAGAUAUUUGUACUAUGUUUCCCUGGGUGCAAUACGAGUCUAAAGUGGUUACUGAUGGUUUCAGGAAAAGCCUCUAAACGGUUUAAAAGUGUGGCGUUCGUACCGCAAACCAACUCAGGUGGACAGGAUGAAUAUUCUAAGGUGUUUGAGAGAACUCAGGAGAAGGAACUCGGCAAAUUGAUACCGUAACUUAGGGAUAAGGUAUGCCUUGAGAAUAAGUGAUACAACAUCAUAAGAUUCAAGAGGUUGCAAUGAAAUGGUGGCUGCGACUGUUUAAUAAAAACACAGCACUCUGCUAACACGGAAGUGGAAGUAUAGGGUGUGACGCCUGCUCAGUGCUAGAAGAUUAAUUGAGAAGGUGAAAGCCUUCAAAUAAAGUCCUAGUAAACAGCGGCAGUAACUAUAACUGUCCUAAGGUAGCGAAAUUCCUUGUCGGGUAAGUU
rnacentral:rRNA from 1 species